rnacentral:rRNA from 1 species
GAUGAACGCUGGCGGCGUGCCUAAUACAUGCAAGUCGAACGAGUUCUGAUUAUUGAAAGGUGCUUGCAUCUUGAUUUAAUUUUGAACGAGUGGCGGACGGGUGAGUAACACGUGGGUAACCUGCCCUUAAGUGGGGGAUAACAUUUGGAAACAGAUGCUAAUACCGCAUAAAUCCAAAAACCGCAUGGUUCUUGGCUGAAAGAUGGCGUAAGCUAUCGCUUUUGGAUGGACCCGCGGCGUAUUAGCUAGUUGGUGAGGUAACGGCUCACCAAGGCAAUGAUACGUAGCCGAACUGAGAGGUUGAUCGGCCACAUUGGGACUGAGACACGGCCCAAACUCCUACGGGAGGCAGCAGUAGGGAAUCUUCCACAAUGGACGCAAGUCUGAUGGAGCAACGCCGCGUGAGUGAAGAAGGCUUUCGGGUCGUAAAACUCUGUUGUUGGAGAAGAAUGGUCGGCAGAGUAACUGUUGUCGGCGUGACGGUAUCCAACCAGAAAGCCACGGCUAACUACGUGCCAGCAGCCGCGGUAAUACGUAGGUGGCAAGCGUUAUCCGGAUUUAUUGGGCGUAAAGCGAGCGCAGGCGGUUUUUUAAGUCUGAUGUGAAAGCCCUCGGCUUAACCGAGGAAGUGCAUCGGAAACUGGGAAACUUGAGUGCAGAAGAGGACAGUGGAACUCCAUGUGUAGCGGUGAAAUGCGUAGAUAUAUGGAAGAACACCAGUGGCGAAGGCGGCUGUCUGGUCUGUAACUGACGCUGAGGCUCGAAAGCAUGGGUAGCGAACAGGAUUAGAUACCCUGGUAGUCCAUGCCGUAAACGAUGAAUGCUAGGUGUUGGAGGGUUUCCGCCCUUCAGUGCCGCAGCUAACGCAUUAAGCAUUCCGCCUGGGGAGUACGACCGCAAGGUUGAAACUCAAAGGAAUUGACGGGGGCCCGCACAAGCGGUGGAGCAUGUGGUUUAAUUCGAAGCAACGCGGAGAACCUUACCAGGUCUUGACAUCUUUUGAUCACCUGAGAGAUCAGGUUUCCCCUUCGGGGGCAAAAUGACAGGUGGUGCAUGGUUGUCGUCAGCUCGUGUCGUGAGAUGUUGGGUUAAGUCCCGCAACGAGCGCAACCCUUAUGACUAGUUGCCAGCAUUUAGUUGGGCACUCUAGUAAGACUGCCGGUGACAAACCGGAGGAAGGUGGGGAUGACGUCAAAUCAUCAUGCCCCUUAUGACCUGGGCUACACACGUGCUACAAUGGAUGGUACAACGAGUUGCGAGACCGCGAGGUCAAGCUAAUCUCUUAAAGCCAUUCUCAGUUCGGACUGUAGACUGCAACUCGCCUACACGAAGUCGGAAUCGCUAGUAAUCGCGGAUCAGCACGCCGCGGUGAAUACGUUCCCGGGCCUUGUACACACCGCCCGUCACACCAUGAGAGUUUGUAACACCCGAAGCCGGUGGAGUAACCCUUUUAGGGAGCGAGCCGUCUAAGGUGGGACAAGUAA